AGAGUUUGAUCCUGGCUCAGAGCGAACGCUGGCGGCAGGCUUAACACAUGCAAGUCGAGCGCCCCGCAAGGGGAGCGGCAGACGGGAGAGUAACACGUGGGAACGUACCCUUCGGUUCGGAACAACCCAGGGAAACUUGGGCUAAUACCGGAUACGUCCGUAAGGAGAAAGAUUCAUCGCCGAGGGAUCGGCCCGCGUCUGAUUAGCUUGUUGGUGAGGUAACGGCUCACCAAGGCGACGAUCAGUAGCUGGUCUGAGAGGAUGAUCAGCCUCACUGGGACUGAGACACGGCCCAGACUCCUACGGGAGGCAGCAGUGGGGAAUAUUGGACAAUGGGCGCAAGCCUGAUCCAGCCAUGCCGCGUGGGUGAUGAAGGCCCUAGGGUUGUAAAGCCCUUUCGGCGGGGAAGAUAAUGACGGUACCCGCAGAAGAAGCCCCGGCUAACUUCGUGCCAGCAGCCGCGGUAAUACGAAGGGGGCUAGCGUUGCUCGGAAUCACUGGGCGUAAAGCGCACGUAGGCGGCUUUUUAAGUCAGGGGUGAAAUCCUGGAGCUCAACUCCAGAACUGCCUUUGAUACUGGGAAGCUUGAGUCCGGGAGAGGUGAGUGGAACUGCGAGUGUAGAGGUGAAAUUCGUAGAUAUUCGCAAGAACACCAGUGGCGAAGGCGGCUCACUGGCCCGGUACUGACGCUGAGGUGCGAAAGCGUGGGGAGCAAACAGGAUUAGAUACCCCCGUAGUCC
rnacentral:rRNA from 1 species